UACAGAGGGUGCAAGCGUUAAUCGGAAUUACUGGGCGUAAAGCGCGCGUAGGUGGUUUGUUAAGUUGAAUGUGAAAUCCCCGGGCUCAACCUGGGAACUGCAUCCAAAACUGGCAAGCUAGAGUAGGGCAGAGGGUGGUGGAAUUUCCUGUGUAGCGGUGAAAUGCGUAGAUAUAGGAAGGAACACCAGUGGCGAAGGCGACCACCUGGGCUCAUACUGACACUGAGGUGCGAAAGCGUGGGGAGCAAACAGGA
rnacentral:rRNA from 1 species